rnacentral:rRNA from 1 species
AACGCGUUGGUGAUCUGCCUUGAAGUGUGGAAUAACGUUUCGAAAGGAACGCUAAUACCGCAUGUGCUCUCGAUUUUCAGAAAGUUGAGAGUAAAGGAUUUAUUCGCUUCAAGAGGAGCCUGCGUCCCAUCAGCUGGUUGGUAGGGUAACGGCCUACCAAGGCUAUGACGGGUAGGGGACCUGAGAGGGUGGCCCCCACAAUGGAACUGAAACACGGUCCAUACACCUACGGGUGGCAGCAGUAGGGAAUAUUAGAAAUGGACGAAAGUCUGAUCUAGCAACACCGCGUGUGCGAAGAAGGCCUUCGGGUCGUAAAGCACUUUUUGGAAGGAAUAGGAAGGAAUGUACUUCCAGAAUAAGUCUCGGCUAACUACGUGCCAGCAGCCGCGGUAACACGUAGGAGGCAAACGUUAUCCGGAUUUACUGGGCGUAAAGCGCGUGUAGGUGGUACUGUAAGUAGGGCGUGAAAGCUCCUGGCUCAACUGGGAGAGGCCGUUCUAAACUACAGAACUAGAGGAUGGUAGAGGGAGGUGGAAUUCCAGGUGUAGCGGUGGAAUGCGCAGAUAUCUGGAGGAACACCGGUGGCGAAAGC